rnacentral:rRNA from 1 species
UACGUAGGGUGCAAGCGUUGUCCGGAAUUAUUGGGCGUAAAGAGCUCGUAGGCGGCUUGUCGCGUCGACUGUGAAAUCCCGCGGCUCAACCGCGGGUCUGCAGUCGAUACGGGCAGGCUAGAGUUCGGUAGGGGAGACUGGAAUUCCUGGUGUAGCGGUGAAAUGCGCAGAUAUCAGGAGGAACACCGGUGGCGAAGGCGGGUCUCUGGGCCGAUACUGACGCUGAGGAGCGAAAGCGUGGGGAGCGAACAGG